AGAGUUGAUCCCCAAGGAGAUAAUGUGAUGCUCUGGGAUCUCCCGACCCAGUGACACUGUGUAAAAUAAGACCUGAAUGGACGAAAUCCUGUGGAAAAUGAAGUUCUACCAGGACAAGAGUUCUGAGGAAAGAAGAGGAAAUUCAGGCCCCGGUGUGGUUUCUGAUGAAUAAUGAAAGGCACCAGGCAAGCAUACCUGAGCUUUGGCAUCCAAGAGCCCAAGACAAUGGGAUACCAUGAAGAACCACCAGAGAAGAAGGCUGAGUGAAGCGCAGACAUGGGAAGAGGUGGUCACGUGGAAAGCUGUGGUGAAUGCAGACAUGGGAAGAAGUGGUCACGUGGAAAGUGAGUUCAAAAAGAGAGAGAGAACAUGAAAAUGGGAGCCUGUAACACUGAGCCACACUCCAGUGGACCAGAUCCUAUGGAAAUGAAGUUCCACCAGGACAGGUGUCCCCAGGAAGGAGGAGUAGAUUCAGGCCCCAGUGUGAUUUCUGAUGAAACCUGAAAGCAGUCCCGUGCUGGAGACCAAGGACAUCUUCUAUCAGUCAUUGGAAGUACAAGGCACAAGGGAAAAGAUAGUCAUCCACCUCCCCUUGAGGGCUCACAUCCAGCAGUCGAUGGGGCGCCCCAGGAUCCACAAGCAGCUUAUAGUAGGUGACAGAAACCUGUUCUUCUGGGCUCAGUAAUUGCAAGGAAGGGCACUUCUCAGUAGCUGGUGAGUCACAGAAAGCCUCACAGCCUAGCAGGUGAGUAAGAGAGGGCGCUCCCAGGACAGCUGCUCAGUGGGGCCUGGGCCCCCAUAGCUGAAUACACUGGAAAUGCCCUAUUAUGGGGUUCGGAGAGCAACAGGCUGCCCUUCUAAGAGGGACUCGGGCCCGCAGGGACCUUAGGACCUUCCAGUGCCCGCAGGUAGCCCAGUACACCUGUCCAAGGGCUGUGGCCUGUCCUGCCAGUGCCUAGCCAUUGGGCACUCUGUGGUGGGGAGGGGCGGGGGUUAGGGGUGUAGGUUGCUCAUCUCUUGCGGGAAGAUGCUGCUGCCCAGUAUUGCAGCAGUCAGUGGGCUGCCUAGCCAGCCUCAGCCCCUGAUGAGUGCAGACCCAGUAGCCAGGCACAACUGUCACUGCAUGACCAGCUCUCCUGGAGUUAGCUGCUGCCUGCGCACAAUUUCCUUUUCCCAGCAGGUGGCGGCAGCAACAACACAGGAAACAGACGCCCUGGCUCUGGAAUUCAGCCCCUCCUCGCGCUGGGCACCUAGGGCCAGGGCGACCUCCCUGCAUUAGGUCUUUGUGCAUCCCUCCUCUCCAGUCCACACAGCUCCGAAUCCAAGCCCCGCCCCACGACUUCCUGUGACACCAGCUCCUGCCCACUGCUAGUCCCCUGGGGUCCCUGGCGCUCCAGCUUCUUUGCUGAGAGCGCGCCAGAGCCCAGGUCUCCCUCAGGACCCCGGGAGAAGGCCCGGAGGCCCAGAGGGCAGCCCAAGCCGCCUGGAACUCGCUCCUUGAA